UACAGAGGGUGCGAGCGUUGUUCGGAAUUAUUGGGCGUAAAGAGCUCGUAGGCGGUUUGUCGCGUCUGCUGUGAAAUCCCAGGGCUUAACCCUGGGCCUGCAGUGGGUACGGGCAAACUAGAGUGCGGUAGGGGAGAUCGGAAUUCCUGGUGUAGCGGUGAAAUGCGCAGAUAUCAGGAGGAACACCGGUGGCGAAGGCGGAUCUCUGGGCCGUAACUGACGCUGAGGAGCGAAAGCAUGGGUAGCGAACAGG
rnacentral:rRNA from 1 species